UUGAACGCUGGCGGCAGGCUUAACACAUGCAAGUCGAGCGGAUGAAAGUAGCUUGCUACCGGAUUCAGCGGCGGACGGGUGAGUAAUGCUUAGGAAUCUGCCUAUUAGUGGGGGACAACGUUCCGAAAGGAGCGCUAAUACCGCAUACGUCCUACGGGAGAAAGCAGGGGACCUUCGGGCCUUGCGCUAAUAGAUGAGCCUAAGUCGGAUUAGCUAGUUGGUAGGGUAAAGGCCUACCAAGGCGACGAUCUGUAGCGGGUCUGAGAGGAUGAUCCGCCACACUGGGACUGAGACACGGCCCAGACUCCUACGGGAGGCAGCAGUGGGGAAUAUUGGACAAUGGGGGGAACCCUGAUCCAGCCAUGCCGCGUGUGGGAAGAAGGCCUUUUGGUUGUAAAGCACUUUAAGCGAGGAGGAGGCUACCUAGAUUAAUACUUUAGGAUAGAGGACGUUACUCGCAGAAUAAGCACCGGCUAACUCUGUGCCAGCAGCCGCGGUAAUACAGAGGGUGCGAGCGUUAAUCGGAUUUACUGGGCGUAAAGCGUGCGUAGGCGGCCAAUUAAGUCAAAUGUGAAAUCCCCGAGCUUAACUUGGGAAUUGCAUUCGAUACUGGUUGGCUAGAGUAUGGGAGAGGAUGGUAGAAUUCCAGGUGUAGCGGUGAAAUGCGUAGAGAUCUGGAGGAAUACCGAUGGCGAAAGCAGCCAUCUGGCCUAAUACUGACGCUGAGGUACGAAAGCAUGGGGAGCAAACAGAUUAGAUACCCUGGUAGUCCAUGCCGUAAACGAUGUCUACUAGCCGUUG
rnacentral:rRNA from 1 species